CCAGCGUGAUCUCUGGAAAAGAAAAGUGGAACAAGUGGCUGAAGAAGCUGACUCUUUGAAAGCCAGUCUGGAUAAAUAUAAUUUAAGACAUCAGCGACGUAUGCAAGAAGCCCGGGAGAGAGCAGAACUGAUUGGAAGAAGUAAUGGUGAUUCAUCCCAUGUUCUGAGGAUUUUUGAUGACGAAGCACAGGCGAUGCAAUCUGCUCGUAAUUCAUCUAGAAUAAUGGAAGAAACCCUGGCAACAGGUGUGGCCAUUCUAUCCAAAUAUAGCGAGCAGAGGGAUCGUUUGAAGAGAGCUCAACGUAAAGCACUGGACGUGCUCAACACUUUGGGGCUUUCAAAUUCUGUGAUGAGACUCAUUGAGAAGAGGAAUCGCGUUGAUAGAUGGAUCAAGUAUGCAGGGAUGGUCUUAACAAUUGUGAUUCUGUUUUUCAUUUGGAGGUGGACAAGAUGAUUGGUACUGCUGUGGACCAUUUAGCGAGUGUCUUGUGGUAGUAUAUUGAGGUAAUGAGACUUUUAGUCCCCUUUAAAGGAAUCUGGGGAAAUUUGACUUGAUACUUGAUUAGCCAUUUUGAACUAAUGAAGAAAUUGAUAAAGCAUUGCAAUGUAGAAUAUGAAAACAUCAUUUUUGGAAACUUUACUGGUGUGUUCAUACAGAAUUAUGUAAA
rnacentral:misc_RNA from 1 species